rnacentral:miRNA from 10 species
UGAGAGAGAUUGUUCCUGUGGAGAAGCAGGGCAGGUGAACUGAGAUAGACCUCUCCAAAGCCCUCUGAGCCUUCACCAAUCUCUAAGCCUUCACCAUCCUGUCUGCAGCAGGCUGAGAUGGGACCAA